rnacentral:lncRNA from 1 species
AGACUGCAGGAAUGGCGAGCUCGUGGCUGCUGCCCCUGGCGCUGGCUCUGCUGCUGCUAGGCGACUCCUCCGUCAUCCUUGCAUCCAGGGAUGCAGGCAGCCUCUGGACCCCCACAUCAUACAGGAACCCCGGUGUGGUGAUUGCUGUGUGUCUGCUUGUGUCUGUCUUACUCGUUGGCUCUGCGUUCGUCGCUGUGAGACAUUAUAACCGAGAUGCUCCAGCUUUCCAUAAUCUGGAUACGGUAUCUAUGGGCAGCGUGAGCCAGAGGCUGCCAUUUGCUGACCGCCUACAGUCGUGACUCUCAGAGGACUAGAGAUAUGGUGGGGGUGACACCUGGAAAGAGCAGUGUCUGGAAACAUUUCCCCCCCUCACCCGUACCCUGCUAUCCUGACCUGGGGAUAAGUGGCAAGGAGGACAACUGGAGCCCAGGAAUUUCAAGGCCAGUUUGGCCCACAGAUCUAGUACACAACUCAGAAAUGAAUCAAGGUGGGAUGGAGCACAGUUGUCAUCCCUGCACUUGGGAGGUAGAGACAGGAGGAUCAUGUGUUCAAGUCCACCCUGAGCUAUAUAUGGGGUUUGAGGUCAGCCUGGGCUACAUGGGACUCUAUCUUUAGAAAAAAAAUUUUUUUUGUGGGAGACUGGAGAGAUGGUUCAGUGGUUAAGAGCACUGUCUGCUUUUCAGGGGACCAGGGUUCUGUUUCCAGCACCCACAUGUAAGCAACCCCAGUCCCAGGGGUCCCGUGGCCUCUUUUGCCCUCUGCAGUCGUCAGGCUCACAGGUGACACACAGACAUACACGCAGGCAAAACACAUUAAAAAAUAAAACUAAAUAAGCAUAAACU